rnacentral:tRNA from 1 species
GGCCGUGUGGUCUAGUAGCAUGAUUCAUCCUUCGGGUGGAUGAGGUCUCGGGUUCAAUUCCCGACUCGGCCC